rnacentral:rRNA from 1 species
AGGGUUCGAUUCUGGCUCAGGAUGAACGCUAGCUACAGGCUUAACACAUGCAAGUCGAGGGGCAGCAGAUCGAUAGCUUGCUAUUGAUGCUGGCGACCGGCGCACGGGUGAGUAACGCGUAUCCAACCUUCCCUUAGUAGGGGAUAGCCCGGCGAAAGUCGGAUUAAUACCCUAUGUUAUUCGUCGAGGACAUCUGAAAUGAAUCAAAGGUUUACCGCUAAGGGAUGGGGAUGUGUCUGAUUAGGUAGUCGGCGGGGUAACGGCCCACCGAGCCGUCGAUCAGUAGGGGUUCUGAGAGGAAGGUCCCCCACAUUGGAACUGAGACACGGUCCAAACUCCUACGGGAGGCAGCAGUGAGGAAUAUUGGUCAAUGGGCGAGAGCCUGAACCAGCCAAGUAAGCGUGCAGGAUGACGGCCCUAUGGGUUGUAAACUGCUUUUAUCGGGGGAUAAAGUGACCCACGUGUGGGUGUUUGUAGGUACCCGAUGAAUAAGGACCGGCUAAUUCCGUGCCAGCCGCAGC